UAAGCGACUAAGCGUACACGGUGGAUGCCCUGGCAGUCAGAGGCGAUGAAGGACGUGCUAAUCUGCGAUAAGCGUCGGUAAGGUGAUAUGAACCGUUAUAACCGGCGAUUUCCGAAUGGGGAAACCCAGUGUGUUUCGACACACUAUCAUUAACUGAAUCCAUAGGUUAAUGAGGCGAACCGGGGGAACUGAAACAUCUAAGUACCCCGAGGAAAAGAAAUCAACCGAGAUUCCCCCAGUAGCGGCGAGCGAACGGGGAGGAGCCCAGAGCCUGAAUCAGUGUGUGUGUUAGUGGAAGCGUCUGGAAAGGCGCGCGAUACAGGGUGACAGCCCCGUACACAAAAAUGCACAUGCUGUGAGCUCGAUGAGUAGGGCGGGACACGUGGUAUCCUGUCUGAAUAUGGGGGGACCAUCCUCCAAGGCUAAAUACUCCUGACUGACCGAUAGUGAACCAGUACCGUGAGGGAAAGGCGAAAAGAACCCCGGCGAGGGGAGUGAAAAAGAACCUGAAACCGUGUACGUACAAGCAGUGGGAGCACAGAGCAAUCUGUGUGACUGCGUACCUUUUGUAUAAUGGGUCAGCGACUUAUAUUCUGUAGCAAGGUUAACCGAAUAGGGGAGCCGAAGGGAAACCGAGUCUUAACUGGGCGUUAAGUUGCAGGGUAUAGACCCGAAACCCGGUGAUCUAGCCAUGGGCAGGUUGAAGGUUGGGUAACACUAACUGGAGGACCGAACCGACUAAUGUUGAAAAAUUAGCGGAUGACUUGUGGCUGGGGGUGAAAGGCCAAUCAAACCGGGAGAUAGCUGGUUCUCCCCGAAAGCUAUUUAGGUAGCGCCUCGUGAAUUCAUCUCCGGGGGGUAGAGCACUGUUUCGGCAAGGGGUCAUCCCGACUUACCAACCCGAUGCAAACUGCGAAUACCGGAGAAUGUUAUCACGGGAGACACACGGCGGGUGCUAACGUCCGUCGUGAAGAGGGAAACAACCCAGACCGCCAGCUAAGGUCCCAAAGUCAUGGUUAAGUGGGAAACGAUGUGGAAGGCCCAGACAGCCAGGAUGUUGGCUUAGAAGCAGCCAUCAUUUAAAGAAAGCGUAAUAGCUCACUGGUCGAGUCGGCCUGCGCGGAAGAUGUAACGGGGCUAAACCAUGCACCGAAGCUGCGGCAGCGACACUGUGUGUUGUUGGGUAGGGGAGCGUUCUGUAAGCCUGUGAAGGUGUGCUGUGAGGCAUGCUGGAGGUAUCAGAAGUGCGAAUGCUGACAUAAGUAACGAUAAAGCGGGUGAAAAGCCCGCUCGCCGGAAGACCAAGGGUUCCUGUCCAACGUUAAUCGGGGCAGGGUGAGUCGACCCCUAAGGCGAGGCCGAAAGGCGUAGUCGAUGGGAAACAGGUUAAUAUUCCUGUACUUGGUGUUACUGCGAAGGGGGGACGGAGAAGGCUAUGUUGGCCGGGCGACGGUUGUCCCGGUUUAAGCGUGUAGGCUGGUUUUCCAGGCAAAUCCGGAAAAUCAAGGCUGAGGCGUGAUGACGAGGCACUACGGUGCUGAAGCAACAAAUGCCCUGCUUCCAGGAAAAGCCUCUAAGCAUCAGGUAACAUCAAAUCGUACCCCAAACCGACACAGGUGGUCAGGUAGAGAAUACCAAGGCGCUUGAGAGAACUCGGGUGAAGGAACUAGGCAAAAUGGUGCCGUAACUUCGGGAGAAGGCACGCUGAUAUGUAGGUGAAGUCCCUCGCGGAUGGAGCUGAAAUCAGUCGAAGAUACCAGCUGGCUGCAACUGUUUAUUAAAAACACAGCACUGUGCAAACACGAAAGUGGACGUAUACGGUGUGACGCCUGCCCGGUGCCGGAAGGUUAAUUGAUGGGGUCAGCGCAAGCGAAGCUCUUGAUCGAAGCCCCGGUAAACGGCGGCCGUAACUAUAACGGUCCUAAGGUAGCGAAAUUCCUUGUCGGGUAAGUUCCGACCUGCACGAAUGGCGUAAUGAUGGCCAGGCUGUCUCCACCCGAGACUCAGUGAAAUUGAACUCGCUGUGAAGAUGCAGUGUACCCGCGGCAAGACGGAAAGACCCCGUGAACCUUUACUAUAGCUUGACACUGAACAUUGAGCCUUGAUGUGUAGGAUAGGUGGGAGGCUUUGAAGUGUGGACGCCAGUCUGCAUGGAGCCGACCUUGAAAUACCACCCUUUAAUGUUUGAUGUUCUAACGUGGACCCGUGAUCCGGGUUGCGGACAGUGUCUGGUGGGUAGUUUGACUGGGGCGGUCUCCUCCUAAAGAGUAACGGAGGAGCACGAAGGUUGGCUAAUCCUGGUCGGACAUCAGGAGGUUAGUGCAAUGGCAUAAGCCAGCUUGACUGCGAGCGUGACGGCGCGAGCAGGUGCGAAAGCAGGUCAUAGUGAUCCGGUGGUUCUGAAUGGAAGGGCCAUCGCUCAACGGAUAAAAGGUACUCCGGGGAUAACAGGCUGAUACCGCCCAAGAGUUCAUAUCGACGGCGGUGUUUGGCACCUCGAUGUCGGCUCAUCACAUCCUGGGGCUGAAGUAGGUCCCAAGGGUAUGGCUGUUCGCCAUUUAAAGUGGUACGCGAGCUGGGUUUAGAACGUCGUGAGACAGUUCGGUCCCUAUCUGCCGUGGGCGCUGGAGAACUGAGGGGGGGCUGCUCCUAGUACGAGAGGACCGGAGUGGACGCAUCACUGGUGUUCGGGUUGUCAUGCCAAUGGCACUGCCCGGUAGCUAAAUGCGGAAGAGAUAAGUGCUGAAAGCAUCUAAGCACGAAACUUGCCCCGAGAUGAGUUCUCCCUGACCCUUUAAGGGUCCUGAAGGAACGUUGAAGACGACGACGUUGAUAGGCCGGGUGUGUAAGCGCAGCGAUGCGUUGAGCUAACCGGUACUAAUGAACCGUGAGGCUUAACCU
rnacentral:rRNA from 1 species